rnacentral:rRNA from 1 species
GGAUAGGAGAAUUGGAGGGCAAGUUUGGUGCCAGCAGCCGCGGUAAUACCGACUCCAAGAGUGUGUAUGAGAGAUGCUGCAGUUAAAAAGUCCGUAGUCAUAGAAGGGCAAAGAGAGAUGCGAGGUCUCACAGUGCGAUGAUGGAGGAGCCGAUGGGGAACAUAGUAUACCAGGGCGAGAGAUGAAAUGCCAAGACCCCUGGUGGACUGAGCGAGGCGAAGGCGAUGUUCUUGUAGGCAUUCGGUGAUCAAGGACGAAGGCUGGAGUAUCGAAAGUGAUUAGAUACCGCAGUAGUUCCAGCAGUAAAAGAUGCCGACAUGCUCAUUGGACACAGUGGGCACAGAGAAAUCUUAGAGUUCGGGCUCUGGGGAUAGUAUGCUCGCAAGGGUGAAAAUUAAAGAAAUUGACGGAGCUACACCACAAGGAGUGGAUUGUGCGGCUUAAUUUGACUCAACGCGAGGAAACUUACCAGGGCCAAGUAUUGUGUAGAAACGAGCAAUACAGGAGUGGUGCAUGGUCGUUGGAAAUUGAUGGGAUGACUUUGACCUUAAAUGGUUGAAUGAGUGAGAUCUUUUGGACAUGUUCCGCACGGAACAGGAAGGAAAAGGCUAUAACAGAUCCGAGAUGCCCUCAGAUGCCCUGGGCUGCACGCGCAAUACAAUAGCAGGUAGAGAGAGAGACAGGAAGGUGCUCAGAUGGACUAUGUGCUGUAAGGCACAUACGAAAGAGGAAUUCCUAGUAAGU